CCAGGCAGUCGGGAGAGGUAUGUGAGACACCUUUCCUCGCUGCAAAUUGCUGUGCUGCCCCAUUCAGAUGAGUUCGUAUUAUCUCUGGGCUCAGCUAGGUUAAACUAUGAGAAUUUACUCAGCAACCUGAGCCACAAAAAAAAAAAAAAAUAGAAAACCCGAUAGGAGUGGCCAGGCAAAGCAGAUUAUUCUGCAUUUCUUGUUCCUGACUACUUUCCCCUGCCUUGUCACCUAAUGAGGGGGAACGGAAAGAGCAAAGUCUUUGUAAUACGGAGCCUGCCAAGCAAACCACAGAGGUAUCUUUUAGCAAAGCGGCAUCCUUUGUUUUCACGAUGUUGAAAGACAUCAUUAUAACAGAUCUCUAAACAUUUAGAAGCAAGAAUUAUAUUUCAUUUAGAAUUUUAUUUCCAGGGCUCAUUACUCUGUCUAGAACCAAGGACUACUCGGCAGAUGUAGACUGAAUGGACAUAUGAAUAGAAGAGACACAUUUGAUAAGAUAGUCAAAUCUAAAUUGCCGCCCAAAUUGGUCAGGAUCAGGUAUUUUCAGCACCUGUCGGUAUGGCCAGACAAAAUCUGGAAUAACUCAUUACUUCUUACAGCAGAGAGGCUGCCGUUGGAACUGGAGAGAACACAAUAACGAAAGAGCACUGUGGUGGAAGUUGUAAGGAGAUGCCCCUUUGGAAUGAAUGACUUCUUCAUCCACCUGCUGGGAGCCUUGUUGGAAGAUAGCCCUCAACUGUCAGCCCUCUGCCUUGCUAAAGGUUACACCUCCUCCCAAGAGCAGCUCACAGCCGAUGCAUGAUCUCACAGGGCUGUAAAGACCCAGCCCCUUUGCUCAAACUUAGGACAAUUCUGAAAGACUGUCCCUGCUCCAGAGAUCUCCAAGAAGUCGGCGAGGCCUUCAGCAGCACUGCUGAACUUCUCCCUUUGUGCAGUGCUGCUUCUUUCUCUCCCAUGUCAUAGAUAUCAACCCUCAAAUAGAUAUCGAGCACUAAUAGAUAUCUUGAAUGAUAAUUUUCCUCUCAAAGAGUCCUUCCCAGGAAACCCAAGCUGAAAAGUACACUUAAAAAUUGAGACUUUUUCUAUGUAUUUUUUUCCAUCAGUACUGAUCCCAGUGCACCUUUGCAAAGCCAUUCUGAUUAAAUAAUUUUGUCCUGUUAGCA